UGCGGUGCAUGAAAUUUUACUAAAUUGGACUAUUGGAGUAUGUCAUGAGUCAGACAUAUGUGUCAUUCAUCUAGCAAAUGUUUCCAAUUUUGUAACAUUAAUAAUGUUAACUCUCUUAAAUUAUACAUACAAGCUACUCCCAAAUACAAAAAUAUCUCACCCCACACAGGAAAAAAGACUGUUGGAAAAAGAAGAAGAUGAUGCACCACUAGUCAUCAAAAAGGAAAGAAAAUGGGAGAGAAUCCUUGCAAUAUUUUUGAUAGAAUGAUUAAAUCCACACUGAACUUUUUGGGGUACGGUAAUGGUCAUAACUCCAACUUUCUCUCCGUGUAUUCUCACCAACAAGAAGAAGAAAUGAUAUCCACGGAAAAUAUAGAGUGCAUGACAACAAGGUCUAUCAGUGUGAGGAAUUCAGCUAGAGGAAAAAGUCCUCCAAGGCCACCAGUGAAAUCUGGAGGAGAUGGUCAAACAAACUAUUCGUCUUACUAAUUAUGUAGUCUUUUUUUUUUUUUUUUUCUUUUUAAAGUUUGGUUUUCUGAAUAUCUUUUUGUUAUUUUAGUAAACUAUCAUCUGGGAUAUUUCUGUUAAAUAUUUCUAGUCCAAGAGGGAUCUUUUUGUUAAUUUAGCAAUCACUUUUCAUUUU